CCCAAUAAGUAAAGAGACAGGUGUGAUGGCACAUAGCUGUAAUCCCAUCAUUCUGAGGCAGUAAGACCAGAAGUUCACAUCCAGCCUGGACAGUUUAACCACUUAGCAAGAACCUGUCUUAAAAAAAAAAAAAAACAAGAGAUGUGGCAAAGACCCCGUAUUCAGACCUCAGUACCACAAAAAAGUAAGCUCUUCAGUAUUUUUGAAAGUGAUAGAUGGUAUGGAGAAAAAUCCAUGUGUAGUGAGAUAGGUGUGCUGGUGGGGAUGUGGGGACCACUUUUAGAAUGGAGGUCAGAGAAGGACUCACUGAGAAGAAGGUUCGUGAGAAAGGACCCACAGGAAGUGAGCCCUGGCUGGGGAGCAUCAAGGGAAAGGGCCAGACGGAGGGUGUGUUUGGGAUGUUCCAGCACCGGCAAAGACCAGUAUGGCUGGAGUGAGUAAGAAUAAAGGGCAGAGUGGGAUGAGAUGGGUUCAGAGUGUAAUAGGGGAUGCGUGAGGAGCUGUUGUUUAGGGCCUUGGAUGCCAUUCUAAACAUUUCGGCUUUUUCUCUGAAUGAUUCAGGACACUACUACUCCAGGGUUCUGAGCCAAGAAACGAUGUGAUCUGACAGUGUUCUAAAGGGAUCCUGCUGGCUGCUUUGAGGGAAGCCAGUUAGGAGACUGUUGUGUUUAUUCAGAGAUGAUGGUGGCUUGGAUAUAGUGGUGCUUAUUGGAGCAUUGUUCCAGUUCUGAUUAUAUUUGAAGGCAGAAUAUGAUGCAGAUUAGAUGUGGUAUGUGUUACAUAGAGAAUAAAUCCAAGAAUAAAUCCAAGGUUUUGGGCUUAAGCCACUGGAUAGAUGGAAUUAUUGUAAACUUAGAUGAAGAAGAUUGUACAAGCAAGUUUUGGAAUGAAGACCAGGAAUUUAUUUGGGGACACACUAAGUUUGAGAUGCCCUUGAGACAUUCAAGUGCAAAUGUCUAGUGUUGAGUUGGAUAUGUAAGUCAGGAAAUCAGUGGGAAAGGUCAAGGUUGGAGAUAAACAUUUUCCAGUCAGCAAACAGAUCACAAUUAAAAGCCACAAGACUUAAUGAGAUCAUAAAGAGCAUGCUGAGAUAAGAAGUAUACAGCUCUGAGCUCUGAGGUACUCCAAUUUUAAAAAGAUGAGGAAGUGAGAAGGGACAGAGGCUAAAGUAAGAGUCAGGGAGACAGCAGGAAAACCAGCAGGCACCAUCCUUUCUUCUGGUUUCUCAGACUUUCAUCUGCCAGUAUGUGCUUCUGUAUGCCUGAGGAGUUUAUGUGAAUCUUUCGUGCACCAAACGGUAUCACGCAAGGAAAUUAAUAUCCCUGGGAUAUUAAUUGGCAGAUAAAUACCUCAGUUCCUUUGCCAUUUAGUCGGGCAUGUAUGAGGGUACUUCUGAAGCUGGUGGUUUUAUACCAUCACCCAGUGUAUCCAUGACAAAAAAGCUGCAUUGCCCAUGGCGUUAGCCAGGCGGGAAGGUGCAAUUGCUACUGAUUGUCUUCCCUUCCUUGCCCCACCUCCCCACUCCUGGAUGGUGUUCUCUGUAACUUGCAAAUAAAUUCUUUGCAAUUGA